GAUGAACGCUGGCGGCGUGCUUAACACAUGCAAGUCGAACGGAAAGGCCUCUGCUUGCAGGGGUACUCGAGUGGCGCACGGGUGAGUAACACGUGGGUGAUCUGCCCUGCACUUCGUGAUAAGCCUUGGAAACUGGGUCUAAUACCGGAUAGGACAAUGGUUUCGAUGCUGUUGUGGAAAGUUUUUCGGUGUGGGAUGAGCUCGCGGCCUAUCAGCUUGUUGGUGGGGUAAUGGCCUACCAAGGCGUCGACGGGGAGCCGGCCUGAGAGGGUGUACGGCCAGAUUGGGACUGAGAGAGGGGCCAGAGUACUAAGGGAGGCAGCAGUGGGGAAUAUUGGACAAUGGGCGCAAGCCUGAUGCAGCGACGCCGCGUGGGGGAUGACGGCCGUCGGGUUGUAAACUCCUUUGGCUAGGGACGAAGCGUUUUUGUGACGGUACCUGGAGAAGAAGCAACGGCUAACUACGUG
rnacentral:rRNA from 1 species